rnacentral:tRNA from 1 species
AAGGGAGACCUAAUUCAGGUAUGGGACGAAAAAAAAGUAGUCGCUACCAAGAAUCAAUCCCAAAAGGUCGGAGCGAGGUAUGAGGCUUUCAAACUAGGUUCUGGGUUCAAACAAGACCUGAAUCAGGAACAAGGGCUAUUAGCUCAGGUGGUUAGAGCGCACCCCUGAUAAGGGUGAGGUCCCUGGUUCGAGUCCAGGAUGGCCCACCUGCACAGGUGGCAAAAACAAGAGAAGCGAGGAAUCAGCACCUUAUCUUAUAUACAUAUAUAAGAGAGAAUGCUGGCUCUGAGUAAAGAGUCCAGAGGAACCUUGAAAACUGCAUAGAGCUAGGUGAAAAAGCCAAAAAAGAAGACCGCAA